AUGAAUCGGCUGCAGUCGUGGACGGUGUACCUGUGCAGAUUGCACUCGAUUAACCAACAAUCAACACACAUCAUACAUGCUCCGCUACCGUUUCUCACUCUACGCCAAGGACUCGGCGAUCUCCAUGGAGAGGCAGUAGGCGAGAGACUGUAUCGUGAUCAUGGGGUUCACACCAACGGCAGUCGGGAGGAGGCUGCCGUCGCAGACGUACAGGCCCUCGGCCUCCCAGCUCUCGCCUCUGCCGUCCACGGCGCCCUCCUUGGGGCUGGAGCCCAUCCGGCAGCUGCCCAUCUGGUGCGCCGAGCAGAGCAGCGCCCACGUGUCCGUGCCCGCCUGCAUCGGGCCCCUCGCCACGGUCACCUCGUCCAGGAACGCCUCCAGGUCCUUGUCCUGCACGCCCUUGCACCGCAGCCGCAGCCCGUCGCUGCGGUGCGUGCCCACCUCGGCCGCGCCGGCGGCCACCAUGAUGCGCAGGGCGCGGCGCAGGCCGUCGCGGAGCUCCUCGAUGUCGCCGCGGCUCGGGCUGUAGUGCACGCGGCCCUCGCCGUCCACGCUCCCCGCGGCGAGGUCGCGGACCAGCGCGAACGCGUGCGCGGUGCGCGCGUACCGGCGCAUCCUCUCCUUCAUGUCGCGGCCCGACUCCCACGGGACCAACGAGGCGAAGGCCCCCGGCCCCAGCGCCGGCGUCUCGAUGAUGGUGCGCUCGGUGACGCGGUGCAUGCUCGUGAUGAUGCCGCCCUCGUAGCACUUGCCGGUGAGCUGGGGCUCCUGGUUCGUGUCCGGAAAGUACCCCCACGCCAUGGACACCGGGUGGAGGUGCAGGUUCCGGCCGACGUGCCGGUUUCUGAGACCGCUGUUACGGAGCAGCGGCGGCGUCAUGAGCGCCCCGCACGCCGAGAUGGACACCUUGGCCUCGAUGCGCAGCUUCUUGGUGAUGCCGUUGCUCAAGCACGUCGCCACCAGGCCGACGCACUUCUUGCUCCGGCCGUUCUUGCCGCGCCCUUCCGUGCUGCUCUCGAGUAUGAAGCGCUCGGCCUUGCACCCGGCCAGGAUCACCGCGCCGUGCUCGACGGCGUCGACGAGCCACGUCGUGUCGGUGCCGCGCUUGUCGCCGGUUGGGCAGCCCAGGUAGCAGCUCCCGCAGUAGUGGCCCUCCGACGAGUUGCGCGGUACGCAGUCUACAGGCAGCCCGAGCGCCUCGCACCCGCGGCGCACCACCUUGUUCUGGAACCCUUCCUCACGACACCCGUUGGUGACGGCGAGCCUGGAGCACACGGCGUCCAUGGCCUGCACGUAGGCCGCGCUGUAAAAACCGAGGCUGGAAGCGCAUACCAGGGGCAGGGGCGCGGUGCGUGUUAUAUAGCCGAGAACGUCCGGCAGGAUUUACAAAGAGGUUAG
rnacentral:rRNA from 1 species